UAUAGUCUAGCUCUCUUCUCAACCCCUCCAGCGGCCGCCGCCUCCGCUCAUUUAGCGGAGGCGGCGUCUGGUUCCCCCUGUGCUCUCAUCUUCCUUUUCCCCUCCAUCGGCAUCCUCCUUGCAGCAGCUCAAAUAAACCCACCUUCCUCCACAUCUUCCCCUUCAUCUAUCCAUUGUUUUGGUUUUGGUUUUGUGGUGCAGUGCAACUUUUCCAUCUCUGAUUGUGGUUGGGGAGGAGGAUGGCGUAUGAGUAAUGGCGCAUAUUCUAUUGCCGACCACUUGUUGAGAGUUGUCCGAGAGGUGCGGCCAUAUAAUCAAACCUGAUCCGGUAUGUAUCUCGGCCUUUCAUAAAUUAAGAUAUAUAUACGUCAUAUGUAUAUAAACAUUGUCCGUCUCUAUUGGAUCACUAAACUCUACUAUAGAGGAAAAUGAUUUUUCAAGUGGUUGUGGAUGAAUUAAUGGAAAAGGGAAUGAAAGAUGCCAAAAUUUGGCCAUCAUUCAUUCCCUUUUCCAUUAAUUCAUCGGCAACCACUUUGAAAAUCCUUACUCCUCUAUAAUAGAGUUUAGUGAUCUAAUAGAAAUGGACAAUGUUUAUAUACAUAUGAGUUGUAUCUUUAUUUUAAAUGAUGAAAGGUUGAGAUGCAUACCGGGGAGGUAAUCAAUACAUUACGGCAUACAAUCUAACUUUUUUUUUUUUACAAGUUCAUCGAGAGCGCAUUCUGCAUUGGUAUUUUGAUCAACAUCGUGUCAAUUUCAUAGACCCAAGCUAUGUUCCAAAUUAAAUAUAUUGGAUUGAAAUUCAAUUCUCAAUAUAUUUAAUAUGGAACAUUGCUCAGGUCUAUUAAAUUGACAGGAUGUUAGUCAAAAUACCAGUCACGGAAUGCGCUCUCGAUGGACGAGUAAAAAAAAAAAGUUAGAAAGUUAGAUUAUAUGUCCUAAUGUAUAUAUUACCUCCACCUGGCCCUUCGUCAGCUAGGACCAUAAGAUAUGAUUUUUUUUUUUUUUAAUACAGGACUUUAAUUAUUUUGUUCCCUUUGAAGUGCGACAAAAAUGUAUUCUAUUUUGUGCCAAUACUGUUGACUGAAAUUUAUGAAAAUUUUGUUAUUAAAUAUUUAA